rnacentral:rRNA from 1 species
AAUGAACGCUGGCGGUAGGCCUAACACAUGCAAGUCGAACGCCAGCACAGGAGAUCUUUCUCUCUGGGGGGCGGGUGGCGGACGAGUGAGGAAUACAUCGGAAUCUUCGCAGUGGGGGGGGAUAACGGAGGGAAACUUACGCUAAUACCUCAUACUUCCUGCGGGUUGAAGUGUGGGAUCGCAAUACAUUUCGCGAUUUAAUGGGCGGAUGUCCGAUUAGCUAGUUGGCGGGGUAAUGGCCCACCAAGCCGCGGUUCGGUAGCUGGUCUGAGAGGAUGAUCAGCAACACUGGACCUGAGAAACGGUCCAGCCUCCUACGGGAGGCAGAAGUGGGGAAUAUUGGCCAAUGGGCGCAAGCCUGCUCCAGCACUCCCGCGUGGGUGAGGAAGGCCUCCGGGUUGUAAAGCCCUUUUGUUGGGAAAGAAAACUUUCAGGGUAAUACGCUGGCAGGAUGACGGUACCUAACGAAUAAGCAACGGCUAACUUCGUG